rnacentral:tRNA from 1 species
CUCUGGGUGGUGUAAAAGGUUAAUGCUCUUGUCUGCUAACCAAAAAGUUGGAGGUUCAAGUCCUCCCACAGGUA